GGAGGCCUUAGCUUAAUUAAAGUGUCUGAGUUGCAUUCAGGAGAUGUGUUGUAGAAUUUCACAGGUCUUA
rnacentral:tRNA from 1 species